ACCGUCCCCGCCCCGGCUCCGCAACCGGAGCCCGCGCCAACUCUACGACCGAGACCCCCGGGUUGCAGGAGCGGGCCACGCCGCGCAGUGCCCACGCCCGCCAGGAGUUAUUGCAGUGUUCUGUCUGGGUCUUCCCGUGUCAUCCGCCCCACGAUCGUCUUGACAACUCUCUAGCUAACAAGGUGUUGUUCUUUAUGAUGGCUGCUAUCCCGUGAAAGUUGCCAAUGGGUAACUGAGGAGAAGAGAAGCAAUUCAUGCUGAGCAGGACUGGAUGAGAAACUGGAUCAAGAUUGACUCAACUGCAGUUCUGGGACCAGAAAACACCAAAAUUGUAGUCUUAAUGUGGAAGUACAUUGAUUGUGGUAAUCAUCCGGAUAAUAAGGCACAGAAGACAAGAAAAAUUAUUUUUUUUCCUAAGCAUACUUGUGAUAACUCUUGCUUAGUAAUGUGUGCGUGUAUGUGAAAAGACAGAGAAAAGGGAAGAGAGACGGGAAGAGAGAGGGGGAGGUAAUUACCAUGUUUGAUUAAUUUAGUUCAUCUAAGCACAAUAUUUUUUUAAUUUACCAAAUUAGUGAGUAUAUCUGUUAAUAUUAUCUAUGUCCAAAAAACUGGGCUUUGAGUUUCCUAUUGUAUAUGGUCCUAGCACCUACAUGGUAACACAUAUUUCAUUCAAACACACAGUUGUUGACACACUGAAAAGCAUCAUCUAAAUUACCCCUAAGAACAGUAUCUUGAUAAAAUUUGAAAGUAACCUAAACAUAUGUAUAGAUAUAAAUAUAGCAAUAGCAAGAAUAAAACUGAAAAGAGAACAUAUUUGUACUACUUGAAUAUAUAAUAAGCAAACAACACUAAUAAAAGAGUCUGAGCCACAUUAAACCAGUACUCUGGGAAGCUGGAAACUGGUUUUACCAUCUGUCAGCUUCUAUACUGGCAGCAUCACAAAUGAGACCUCUUUUGAACAAAACAUCACAGCAGGAGCCACAGACAUGUGAAUUGUAAUUAACACGUGAAAAUGCAUUUCAUAGCUUUUGUCAUUUAUAGAAAACAUAUUGUGAAAUUUUGAUUUAUAAAAUUAUAUCAAAUUUAAGCCAUUUUAAUUUUCCAAACCUAUACACUAUUUCAUCAAAACUUUGGCCUUUACCAACAGUGAGUUUUCCUUAGGUCUGGUUCAUUCUUUAAUGAGGAUCAAUUAUUUCCUAAUCAUUCAGGUACAGAAGAUGAACAAAAGUAUAAAUCUGCUGAGGAC
ensembl:bidirectional_promoter_lncRNA A730020E08Rik RIKEN cDNA A730020E08 gene